rfam:Salmo salar isolate Sally breed double haploid chromosome ssa07, whole genome shotgun sequence.
UUACAAACUUGCUGUAAGUCGCUUUGGAUAAAAGCGUCUGCUAAAUGACUGAAA